rnacentral:rRNA from 1 species
CAUAAUCUCUGAGGAGAAAAGCAGGGGAUCGCAAGACCUUGCGCUUUUGGAGCGGCCGAUGUCUGAUUAGCUUGUUGGUGAGGUAAAAGCUUACCAAGGCUUCGAUCAGUAGCUGGUCUGAGAGGACGACCAGCCACACUGGGACUGAGACACGGCCCAGACUCCUACGGGAGGCAGCAGUGGGGAAUUUUGGACAAUGGGGGCAACCCUGAUCCAGCCAUGCCGCGUGAGUGAAGAAGGCCUUCGGGUUGUAAAGCUCUUUCAGCCGGAACGAAACGGUUACGGUUAAUACCCGUGACUACUGACGGUACCGGAAGAAGAAG